GGGAUAUUGCACAAUGGGGGGAACCCUGAUGCAGCGACGCCGCGUGAGGGAAGACGGUUGUCGGAUUGUAAACCUCUGUCUUUAGGGACGAAACAAAUGACGGUACCUAAAGAGGAAGCCACGGCUAACUACGUGCCAGCAGCCGCGGUAAUACGUAGGUGGCAAGCGUUGUCCGGAAUUACUGGGUGUAAAGGGAGCGUAGGCGGGAAUGCAAGUUGAAUGUUUAAACUAUGGGCUCAACCCAUAGUCGCGUUCAAAACUGCAUUUCUUGAGUGGAGUAGAGGCAGGCGGAAUUCCUAGUGUAGCGGUGAAAUGCGUAGAUAUUAGGAGGAACACCAGUGGCGAAGGCGGCUUACUGGACCGUAACUGACGUUGAGGCUCGAAGGCGUGGGGAGCAAA
rnacentral:rRNA from 1 species